rnacentral:lncRNA from 1 species
UUUUAUCUAGUUCACUUACACUGGAUCUUACGGAGCCUACUCAUGUACAACAUGAUUCGGACCUGAUCAUAGAAAAGAUUCUCUUUAAGCGAACCAGCCUAUCCUCUGUAUAGGGCUUACACGGAGAUUGGAACAUAGACACAUUUGGUUGUGAAUUCCCAUGCGGCAGGCAUAUAUCUACACAGACCAAUCAAUAGUUCAAGUCACACACUCCCAUAAUUCAUUUUCUCUUCACAAAAUUCCCUUCAAUCCCCCUGUUUAGUUGACAUGAAUAAUUAAAGGGAAAUAUCCAAAUCCAUGUCUUAUUAUUUUCAAUAAUCCAUACUUGUAGCAAUAAAAUACUAUAUAUUCCUCCACCAAGUGAUAAAUGAUUGAUUACAAAUAUUUAGGAUUUAUUUUUCUUUUCUCUGUAAAGGCCCAGAAAUACCUUGUUUACGUAUCAUUGGAAAGUGCAUUAACAUAAAUACGGCAGUAAGAAGCGGCAAUACAAAAGUGNNNNNNNNNNNNNNNNNNNNNNNNNNNNNNNNNNNNNNNNNNNUGUAAGAAGCGGCAAUACAAAAGUGUGUAAACUAUAAAAACGGGUCAAAGUAGAUUGUCCCACACUAGCGCUUCCAUGCAAUUAUUCGACCAAGGGUAAUCCUAUUACAGGAAUAGCGUCAGGGACACCUGAUUCUAUUUUCACUGCCCAAUAACCAACUUGGUCCUAAUGUAAGAAAUACCCAGUUACGCCAAAAUAUGCGGUUAAUACAUCCAGAACCACACCUGUAACCCAAGUCAAUUCGCGAGGUUUUUUAAAUCCACCGGUGAGAUUCACACGAAAUACGUGCAGGAUCAUCAUUAGGACCAUCAUACUUGCCGACCAUCGAUGAACUGAUCGGAUUAACCAACCAAAGUUGGCUUCAGUCAUAAUGUAUUGAAUAGAAGCAAAAGCCUCAGUAACGGUCGGACGAUAGUAAAAAGUAAUAGCAAACCCAGUAGCUACUUGUUCUAAAAAAUAAGUAAGCGCAAUUCCCCCAAAACAAUAAAAUAUAUUGAUGUGGGGAGGAACGUAUUUACUAGUUAUAUCAUCCGCAAUUGCUUGAAUCUCGAGACGUUCUUCAAACCAAUCAUAUACUUUAUUGAGAUAGGCAAAACUCCCCCUCUCAGAACCGUAUAUGAGACUUUCAUCUCGUACAACUCAAGCAAAAACACCCAAAUACUAGUUGCAACGGAUAUGGAAUAGAAAAUUUUAAAUUUAUAGGCAUAACUCCCCCUAUGAGAACCGUAUAUGAGAAUUUCAUCUCGUACAACUUAAGCAAUAACACCCCACUACAGUUGCAACUGAUAUGGAAUAGAAAGUUUGAAAUUUAUUAAGUUCUCAUCCCAUCUUCUAUGGAAAAUCCGAAAGGUCUUCUUUGUGGCGAUAAUACCAACAUAUCAAGUUGGCGCAGUCGUCUUUAUCUUUAUUUUGAUACUUAUGGGCCUCUUGAAUUCUCUUUUUCCCUAUUUCUUCCUAGAAUUUGUUUUUGUUCAAGUUGGCGCAGUCGUCUUUAUCUUUAUUUUGAUACUUAUGGGCCUCUUGAAUUCUCUUAUUCCUAUUUCUUCCUAGAAUUUAUUUUUCUGGAAUAUGGCUUUUAUUAUUUGUUUUCUUUAUUAUUGAUAGGAAUUCUCUUGUUAUGACCUUAUGGAUCGAUUAAAACCUCAGAUUCAUACUAGAACCACGAUGAUUCAAUAAAAAAAACCUAACCUAAACCAAAUCAAGGAUUCCAUGAGUAAGAAUCCUCGGAUCAUCACUUAUUCCCUGAAUAAAUAGAAUGACUAAAAAUUCAAAGAAAGGUUUUGAUUUUGGUCAAAAUAUAAAUAGGGGUUGAAAGAAAAGAAUCUUUCAAUUUAGAAAUUAGAAUUCUUUGAAAAUGUUUUGGAGCCCGAACACAAGGUCUGAAUAUUAAGUAUGAAUCAAAGUUCAAAUAUUUCUUAAUCUAUUUCGUGUUCCAAAUAUUAGAAUAAAUAUUUGACGAAGUAGAACCAUCUCUAUCAAGAUGACAGACACAUUCUCUGUACUAUCAAUAGGAUCAAUUAUAAUAAGUCACACAGUCAUACUCCGGAAAUACAGAAACAAAGAAAUUCCACGAUCGAACUACCAGAUGAAAAUAGAAUGGACUAAAAAUCAGAGCUCUAAAUGAUUCAAUUUGGACUCAAAAGCAAAAACUUUGCGGUUCUUAUAGAUCUAAUUCAUUGAAAUUCCAUCCAAUAAAAUGAAAGAAUUAUAAAUCUCCAAAAUAAUAGAUAGAAAUACCGCAAAUAAGGCCAUUGCGACAUCCAUCAAAGGAGUAGUUCCCCACCCAGGAGCUACUUUACCAUAUUCCGAAUUCAAUC